ACAGCAGUGAGGAAGGCAGGUACGUUAAUAGCGUGCUUGUUUGACGUUAGCUGCAGAAGAAGCACCGGCUAACUCCGUGCCAGCAGCCGCGGUAAUACGGAGGGUGCGAGCGUUAAUCGGAAUUUACUGGGACGUAAAGCGCAUGCAGGUGUUUGUUAAGUCAGAUGUGAAAGCCCGGGGCUCAACCUCGGAAUUGCAUUUUGAAACUGGCAGACUAGAGUACUGUAGAGGGGGUAGAAUUUCAGGUGUAGCGGUGAAAUGCGUAGAGAUCUGAAGGAAUACCGGUGGCGAAGGCGGCCCCCUCGGACAGAUACUGACACUCAGAUGCGAAAGCGUGGGGAGCAAACAGGAUUAGAUACCCUGGUAG
rnacentral:rRNA from 1 species